GAUGAACGCUGGCGGCGUGCCUAAUACAUGCAAGUCGAGCGAACAGACGAGGAGCUUGCUCCUCUGACGUUAGCGGCGGACGGGUGAGUAACACGUGGAUAACCUACCUAUAAGACUGGGAUAACUUCGGGAAACCGGAGCUAAUACCGGAUAAUAUAUUGAACCGCAUGGUUCAAUAGUGAAAGACGGUUUUGCUGUCACUUAUAGAUGGAUCCGCGCCGCAUUAGCUAGUUGGUAAGGUAACGGCUUACCAAGGCAACGAUGCGUAGCCGACCUGAGAGGGUGAUCGCCCACACUGGAAGUGAGACACGGUCCAGACUCCUACGGGAGGCAGCAGUAGGGAAUCUUCCGCAAUGGGCGAAAGCCUGACGGAGCAACGCCGCGUGAGUGAUGAAGGUCUUCGGAUCGUAAAACUCUGUUAUUAGUGAAGAACAAAUGUGUAAGUAACUAUGCACGUCUUGACGGUACCUAAUCAGAAAGCCACGGCUAACUACGUG
rnacentral:rRNA from 1 species